AAGAAGAAGUGGGGGAGGACGAGCUCCAGUUUUCCCCUUUGGGGACAUUUUUCUUUUCUUUUCUUUUUCUUUUAUUUUAUUUCGUUUUAUUUUUUUAACCUCAAAGUUGUUGAUUCCUAUUUAUAGUGCAGGACCGGAUUUAUGCUGGAAGAGAGCUUGAUCAGAAUCUUUUUCAAUCAACACGGAUCUAGAAGCAGACCCCUUGUUCCAGCUUGGAGCUGCCCCAAGCCGCUCCGAGGUGUUAAGUUGUACCCACAAGGGACCGCUCUGAAAUCGGGCGACAUCGCUGAACCAACUUCGCUCAAACUCCGGUACCCUGGGACAGCCUUGCAAGCAUCUGAAGUGGGGGAGUGGUGGUGCAGAAGCUAGUGACGUGAAAGCCUGUGAUCAGUCAUCCUGUAACCUGAGUUGCUAGUUCAAUCCCCUGUUCCAUCCAACUCAUUUACCGUGUUCUUGGGCAAGACACUUCACCCGCCUAGCUGACUGAUGAUCAUCAGAGGGUCCGAGGGCAUGGUCUAUGGCAGCUCCACCUCUGUCAGUGUGCCCCAAGGCAGCAGUGGCUACAGUCUACCAUGUGCAUCCUUUCAGAUGGCGGCCCACAAUGUCAAAACAACAUAAUGGAUAUGGUGACAAAUAAAUGUUUGGAUCAUUUUUCAAAAGAACAAACAUUCAAUAACAAGUCUUUAA